rnacentral:rRNA from 1 species
CCAAUAGCGUAUAUUAAAGUUGUUGCAGUUAAAAAGCUCGUAGUUGAAUUUCGGAAUCUGUCCAUCGGUCGAGCUUCACUGUUCGUACUGGUGUGGUGGGUUCUUACCUUCUGAAUAACCAGCAUGCCAUUCACUUGGUGCGUUGGGGAAGCAGGACUAUUACCUUGAAAAAAUUAGAGUGCUCAAAGCAGGCCAGCGCCUGAAUACAUUAGCAUGGAAUAAUAAAAUAGGACGGCUUGGUUCUAUUUUGUUGGUUUCUAGGAUCACCGUAAUGAUUAAUAGGGAUAGUUGGGGGCAUUAGUAUUCAAUUGUCAGAGGUGAAAUUCUUGGAUUUAUUGAAGACUAACUUCUGCGAAAGCAUUUGCCAAGGAUGUUUUCAUUAAUCAAGAACGAAAGUUAGGGGAUCGAAGACGAUCAGAUACCGUCGUAGUCUUAACCAUAAACUAUGCCGACUAGGGAUCGGACGAUGUUAAUUUUUUAAUGACUCGUUCGGCGCCUUACG